rnacentral:rRNA from 1 species
CCUACGGGCGGCAGCAGUGGGGAAUAUUGGACAAUGGGCGAAAGCCUGAUCCAGCCAUGCCGCGUGUGUGAAGAAGGCCUUCGGGUUGUAAAGCACUUUCAGUGGGGAAGAAAGCCUUGGGGCUAAUACCCUCGAGGAAGGACAUCACCCACAGAAGAAGCACCGGCUAACUCCGUGCCAGCAGCCGCGGUAAUACGGAGGGUGCGAGCGUUAAUCGGAAUUACUGGGCGUAAAGCGCGCGUAGGCGGUCUGAUAAGCCGGUUGUGAAAGCCCCGGGCUCAACCUGGGAACGGCAUCCGGAACUGUCAGGCUAGAGUGCAGGAGAGGAAGGUAGAAUUCCCGGUGUAGCGGUGAAAUGCGUAGAGAUCGGGAGGAAUAACAGUGGCGAAGGCGGCUUUCUGGACUGACACUGACGCUGAGGUGCGAAAGCGUGGGUAGCAAACAGGAUUAGAUACCCUUGUAGUC